GCAGUGAAGGCGUCUGAAGCAAAAUUCAUUGCUGGGAGAUGGAGAAGAGAGAUUUCCUCUCGACGAAUUUUAUAAUUGCACUUAUUUCUUUCUUGUCGAAUCUAGUGACCACUGCCAGUCAAACUGAGUUUACGUUAGAGUUGUAAAUUGCGGUCUCUAAUAUAGUCUAAACCCCCUUCUAAAAGGAAAUGGAUCAGAGACGGGCUUGGAAAUAUUUCCCAACUGGCUGCUGUGGAGAAGGUGGGCCUGAUAUGUAUCAUUUGGAAAUUUCUCUGAUGUAAAGACUCCCGUGCUGGCAGAUCCUAAACUACUGAGAUGACAUCGCUGAGUGCAGACUUGGGAAGAGACACACACAAUCAGUGCUAACGAGCCUAGCACAGCCUUCUCCAGAACACCACUGAAAGCCUGAUGAAGAAUUGACACCUUCAGGAUCACACAUUUAUUACUCUGGGAUUAGAACUCGGGUGACCUGAACGCUAAACCGGAGCCCAUGUCACCCAGAAAGAUUUGCAUUUUCAGUCUCAUCUUUCACAUUGUCCUGUUAAAGAAAAUCUAAGUGCUAAAGUGAGCGCAACAGCAGAGUGGAUGAAGAGGUUGCCAUCUCGGAGCCCUGAGGAAAUUGGCAGUGGCCGAAGACCCUGUCUCUACCACAAGACCAGGCAAAGAGCUUGUCAGUUAAAGCACUCCUGUCUGAGAAGUCUCAGAAUUCCUUCCCAAGCUCACAGCUCCCUUCUCAAAGAAGUUGACACACUUGAAACUUCUACAAAAAAAUAAGUUGCCUACGAUGAUUGACAGUGUAUUGUAAACCUCACUCAUGUCAUGGACUAACUCCCAGGAUACACCUGAUUGGACCAGAAGUAGGCAUGUGACCUAAGGGUGGAUUAUUCUCAGCUGCUUAGCAGCCUCUGAGCUUUGCCCAAGAGUGAUAACAGUGAUAAACUGAACCAACAGUGUUCUCAUUUCCAGUGAGUUUGAAUAUAAAACAUACAGACAAACUAAGGCAGUCGGAUCAAGAGAAUAAACAAAAUGACCCAGAGAGAGAAAGUAGUAAA
rnacentral:lncRNA from 1 species